GACGAACGCUGGCGGCGUGCCUAAUACAUGCAAGUAGAACGCUGAAGGGAGAGCUUGCUCUUCUGGAUGAGUUGCGAACGGGUGAGUAACGCGUAGGUAACCUGCCUGGUAGCGGGGGAUAACUAUUGGAAACGAUAGCUAAUACCGCAUAACAUUGACUAUUGCAUGAUAGUCAAUUGAAAGGUGCAAAUGCACCACUACCAGAUGGACCUGCGUUGUAUUAGCUAGUUGGUGGGGUAACGGCUCACCAAGGCGACGAUACAUAGCCGACCUGAGAGGGUGAUCGGCCACACUGGGACUGAGACACGGCCCAGACUCCUACGGGAGGCAGCAGUAGGGAAUCUUCGGCAAUGGACGGAAGUCUGACCGAGCAACGCCGCGUGAGUGAAGAAGGUUUUCGGAUCGUAAAGCUCUGUUGUAAGAGAAGAACGAGUGUGAGAGUGGAAAGUUCACACUGUGACGGUAUCUACCAGAAAGGAC
rnacentral:rRNA from 1 species